GACAUGGUUAUUGUUAUCUACAGAAGUGGACAUUUCAUGACAGAUUGGAUAUAUGAAUACAUUUCUGUAAAUGGGAAUAGUUUUGUAUUGACUUUAAGUUUUUUUUUUUAAUUUGAUAUAAUUGUAGAUUUACAUGCAGUUGUAAGAAAUAAUAGAUCUAGUGUGCCUUUUACACAGUUUCCCUCAGUGGUAGCAUCUUCCAAAACUGGUACAUUAUCAUAUCCAGAAUAUUGGCAUUGAUAUAGUCAAAAUACAGAGCAGCUCAUCACCAAAAGUGUCUGUCUUGUUGCCCCAUUACAGCCAACUCCUGACCCCCUUCUUAAUCCAUGGCAACCAUUUCUAUAAUUCUCCAUUUCAAGAUGUUGUAUAAAUGGGAUCAUUCAGUCCUUUUGGAAUUGCUUUUUUUUUUUUUCCUUUCCCUUUUUAUCCUAAGCACAUUUCCCUGGGGUUAUCUAAGUUGUCAUGCUUAUCUGUAGUUUGUUCCUUUUAUUGCUGGGUAGUAUUCCAUGGUAUUGAUGUACCACAAUUUUAAUUUUUUACCCACUAAGGGUUAUUGUAAAUAAAGUUGCUGUGAAUUUAUGUACUUUUUUUUAAUGUAAAUAUGUGUUUUCUGGUAUGACACCAGAGUUUGAGAUGAAACUCAAUUCUCUGCUUUUCUUGGCUCAUGGAGUGUGUGUAAGCAGCAGGCCUCUGCAGCCUAGAAAACCCGUUUGAGUGUUUGGGUUGCAGGUAGCAAAGCCCCAUUCUUCUUUACUACCAUUGAGUGGUAUGUUGCAGCUCUCAGUAUUCCAGCCUCAAAUGGGGCGAUAUCCUCCAGUGUUGUAGUAGACUCCAGUAGCUCAUUGCCAACUUCUUUUCAGGUUCUUAUCUUGCACAUCCAAAGAAUGAAAUUCAUGGAACAAUGGACGGCAAGAAUGAAAGGAGUAGGAUUUAUUCAAGUACAAAGAAUAGAAAUAGAACUCUUGGAGGGGCAAGAG
rnacentral:lncRNA from 1 species